AGGGUUUGAUUAUGGCUCAGGACGAACGCUGGCGGCGUGCCUAACACAUGCAAGUCGAACGGUCUAAUGCUUAACACUGAGUGUUCAGUGAGGUUGGGACAGCGAGAGCGCGAAGCAUGAGCGCUCCACGCAAUUAAAAGUGCCAACAUACUUGGGAAACGGAACGCUGAGUGUUAAGUAUUAGAUAGUGGCGGACGGGUGAGUAACGCGUGGGUAACCUACCCAACAAACCGGGACAACCCUUGGAAACGAGGGCUAAUACCGGAUACGCUUAUAAGUUGGCAUCAACGUAUAAGGAAAGGUGGCCUCUGAAUAUGCUGCCGAUGAUGGAUGGACCCGCGUCUGAUUAGCUGGUUGGUGGGGUAAAGGCCUACCAAGGCGACGAUCAGUAGCCGGCCUGAGAGGGUGAACGGCCACACUGGGACUGAGACACGGCCCAGACUCCUACGGGAGGCAGCAGUGGGGAAUCUUCCGCAAUGGACGAAAGUCUGACGGAGCAACGCCGCGUGUAUGAUGAAGGUCUUCGGAUUGUAAAGUACUGUUUUUAGGGAAGAACGGUCUCUUCAGGAAUAUGGAGGAGACAUGACGGUACCUAAGGAGGAAGCCCCGGCUAACUACGUGCCAGCAGCCGCGGUAAUACGUAGGGGGCGAGCGUUGUCCGGAAUUAUUGGGCGUAAAGGGCGCGUANGCGGGUAUUUAAGUCCGGUGUGAAAGAUCAGGGCUCAACCCUGAGAGUGCAUCGGAAACUGGGUAUCUUGAGGACAGGAGAGGAAAGUGGAAUUCCACGUGUAGCGNGAAAUGCGUAGA
rnacentral:rRNA from 1 species